rnacentral:rRNA from 1 species
CCAAGAAAUUUAGUCAUUCUUUUACGGUAAAAAGACAGUUAAGCAAAACAAUAUAAUCAUUAGACCUUCAAUAUAGGAGUAAAAUCCAAAUAUUGAAAGUUAUGUCGAAUAUGAUUUAUUUUCUAGGCGCUGAAUCUGUGACAACUUUAAGGGAAACUGGGAUUGGAUACCCCAUUAUUUUUAGUCGUAAAUUUGGCUUAAAGUCUACCAGAGCACUACGAAUAAAAAGUUUAAAACUCAAAGAGCUUGGCGGUGUUUUAGACCUCUCAGGGGAACCUGUCUCGUAAUCGACAAUCCGCGUUAAACCUAACCCUUUAUAGCAAUUCAGCCUGUAUACCGUCGUCGCCAGGUAACUUCUUAAAAUAUAGUAGUUAGCUUGAAAAUUAUAUUAAUUAAAACGUCAGAUCAAGGUGCAGCUAAUAAAAGGGAGAGGAUGGGUUACAAUUACAUAUUUGUAAUUACGGCAAAAUGCUUGAAACAAAGUGUUUAUAAAGGAGGACUUGAAAGUAAUCUUGAUUAUAUAAACAGGGUGAAUAGGGCUCUGAAACGUG